CCGUCGAUAGCUCAGUUGGCAGAGCGGUGGACUGUAGAUCCAUAGGUCGCUGGUUCAACUCCGGCUCGGCGGA
rnacentral:tRNA from 1 species